UACAGAGGGUGCAAACGUUGUUCGGAAUUACUGGGCGUAAAGCGCGUGUAGGCGGCUCUGCAAGUCGGAUGUGAAAUCCCACGGCUCAACCAUGGAAGUGCAUUCGAAACUGCAGGGCUAGAGUUCUGGAGAGGAAGGUGGAAUGCUUGGUGUAGAGGUGAAAUUCGUAGAUAUCAAGCGGAACACCGGUGGCGAAGGCGGCCUUCUGGACAGUAACUGACGCUGAGACGCGAAAGCGUGGGGAGCAAACAGG
rnacentral:rRNA from 1 species